rnacentral:rRNA from 1 species
CAGUCGCCGCGGGAAUACAGAGGGUGCGAGCGUUAAUCGGAUUUACUGGGCGUAAAGCGUGCGUAGGCGGCUAAUUGAGUCGGAUGUGAAAUCCCCGAGCUUAACUUGGGAAUUGCAUUCGAUACUGGUUAGCUAGAGUGUGGGAGAGGAUGGUAGAAUUCCAGGUGUAGCGGUGAAAUGCGUAGAGAUCUGGAGGAAUACCGAUGGCGAAGGCAGCCAUCUUGCCUAACACUGACGCUGAGGUACGAAAGCAUGGGGAGCAAACAGGAUUAGAUACCCCUGUAGUCCCUGUCUCUUAUAC